UCAAAUCCCUUUAAAAACAGAACUCUGAAUGCACGUGACCCAUCCAUGGGUCACGAGCAUAGUCAGUAAAGGUCAAGAGCAGCGCAGUAUCUGACGGGGUUGGUGAGGGAAAAGUUCAGGGGUUUGUCUCACAGGCAACCGGGAGAGUAUUGACACAGAACGCCCUGUUUCAGAUAAUGGCAACAAAAAGAAGCCAGACGUCAUGUAAUGAUAGCAGAGGUGGGGUUGACAGCAAAGUAUCCAAGCCAAAAACGAUAGAACAAUCUACUUUAUUUUGUGAUGACUCCACAAUGAAAAUGAAAGCUGUGGAUAUGAAUGCUACUCCAAAAAGCCAUGACAUCCCGCAUGGAUUGGAAGGGGCAAUGUUAGAAGCAAAUAGAAGUCUCAACAUCCUCUUCUCAGAGUUCACAGAAGUGUUAAGAGAGAGAGUGUCUGUGGACUCCUCACAAGUGAAUGAGUUGGAAGACAUCCUGAUGGAGGCCAGGAGUUUAGAAGCACAUCUCAAGGAGAAAAAAGAGCACUUGAGACAUUCACUGGCUGUCAUCUCUGAAAAAUUACAAGGAUAGAGUUUACCGCUUACUGCAAUAUCACAUAUUAUUUGUAGGACUCAGCGAGCUUAAAUCUGUUUACUCAGAGGGUGCAUCAGGAAACUGUGAAGUGUUUAUUUACAACCUUGUGACAGUUGUACAGUAGUUUUAGAUUGAUUGUAUUUGAUUUUUUGAUUGUAUUUACUUUGUGGGUAUGCUGGUAAUUUUUUUUUAUUUUAUGGCAGAGUGUGAUUUGCAUUUAGCUGUGAGAUCUUUUUGUCUUUUUUUUGUCUAUUUAACUCCACCCUGACCCCUGGAUGUUCUUUUGAAUAAUAGUUUUAUGAUUUGAAUAGAGAUUUUAUGGACAAGUGAAAUUGUGUUAUUUAUUAUAAUAUUGCUGUAAAUAAAAAUGAAACUGACAAAAGUA